AGUGUACGCUGGCGGUAGGCCUAACACAUGCAAGUCGAACGGCAGCACAGAGGAGCUUGCUCCUUGGGUGGCGAGUGGCGGACGGGUGAGGAAUACAUCGGAAUCUACUCUGUCGUGGGGGAUAAUGUAGGGAAACUUACGCUAAUACCGCAUACGACCUACGGGUGAAAGCAGGGGACCUUCGGGCCUUGCGCUAUUGAAUGAGCCGAUGUCGGAUUAGCUAGUUGGCGGGGUAAAGGCCCACCAAGGCGACGAUCCGUAGCUGGUCUGAGAGGAUGAUCAGCCACACUGGAACGGAGACACGGCCCAGACUCCUACGGGAGGCAGCAGUGGGGAAUAUUGGACAAGGGGCGCAAGCCUGAUCCAGCCAUACCGCGUGGGUGAAGAAGGCCUUCGGGUUGUAAAGCCCUUUUGUUGGGAAAGAAAUCCAGCUGGCUAAUACCCGGUUGGGAUGACGGUACCCAAAGAAUAAGCACCGGCUAACUUCGUGCCAGCAGCCGCGGUAA
rnacentral:rRNA from 1 species